UUCCGAAACAAAAAACCCUCUCCCCAAACUCCACCAUCUGUCUCUCUGACCUUGCGAGACCCCUUCCUCCGCCACUCUCUCUCUGCGACCCUGCGACCCUGCGAGACCCGAGCGACACCUCACUCCGCCACCAUGCUGCGCCAAGCCACCACCUUCUGACCCGAUCAGCUAUCCCCCUCAGCGCCAGUCCCUUUUCCACCGACGUCGCUGCGACUGCCCCAGCUGGUUCUACUUUUAGCGACGCCUGGAAGAAGGCGGUGCCUCACAUAGAACCCCCCAAGACCCUAUUGACCUUCAUGAAAGCCUCGGCCUGCAACCCCGUCGUCGAUCCCCACUAAGCUCCCUGUCAACUUUGUGCUCCCUUAUGCGUCCGAACUUUCGGCCAAAGAGCUUGGAGCCAUCCACUGCCAUCGUUGAUUACAAGAUGUGUUGCCUAUGCAUAUACUUGUGGGUUUAUGUUUGGGUGGCACUUUCAUGAGAAGGCAUCACUCCACUUUGUCUCUUGCCAUUGUUGCAGUGCAGAGUUUGGAUAAUUGUUUUCUAUGCAGUUUCCUGCGACUCGCUGUUCCCACUUCUACAUGAAGCGCUUCAGGAGUAUCCAGUAAAGGUUUUAUUGCUGUAGCUCCCAGAUCACUACUCUCUCUAUCUCCUUUCUUUCUUGUCGUGUUCUCUCUCUCCUUUUUCUCUCGUGGUAUUCCCUCUCCCUCUAAACACCAUCUUCUCGUCAUCAAAUAACGGCCUUCCGGACAAUCACGAUUUCGUAUGAUUUUAUCUUACUUUUUUUUUAGGGAAUCUGCAGCACUGCUGUCUUUCCUAUUUGAUAUUUGUCUAAUUUCUUAUGAGUCCUUGACACCUAGUGUGACUGUCGCAAUCUGAAAACUAACGAAGUCUCUUUCUAUGCAUAAUAAAAAUUAUUUUCUUCUCCCUUUCCAUAUGCAUGGCAUAAAAAUUGUUUUAACACGGACUACUUAAUUUUUUUAUUAGUUUUAACAAAUUACUUAAAAUUGUUUUUGCAUAAAUUACCGAAAAUUAAUUUUGCAUUGGCUACCAACAACUGCUUUUGCACAAAUUCCUAAUAACUAUUUUCACGUCGUUUGCAUUACUCGCGGUUUUUGUGUUGUUGCAAAGGACAACUUUUUAAUUUUUUUGCACUUGGUAUGGUUGAAUAUGAAACUCGUUUUCCUCGUUAAAUCUAUUUCAAAUAUAAAACAUUUAUUUUAAUAAACUAUUGAAAUUGGUUUUUGACGAAAUUUACAUAACUGUUUUGCCAUAAAUUUGAACAACUGUUUGUGCACGAAAUUUCAACAACUCUUUUUCAUAAAGAAGAUCAAUACUUAGUUACUCAAAAGAUGAGUUUUAUUCAAAACUGUUUGUUUUCGAUUCAUAAUAUUUAGUGUAUGUGAUCUGAAUCGUUCAUAUUAUUAAUCAUUUUAUAAAGAUUACUUUUGCAAAAAAUCAAUUAGAAAUAAGGUUGUUUGGUUAUCAAAAUGUAUAAAAAAAACAGAUGAACGAAAUUUGUAGAAGCAUUACGAAUUGCUAAGUAUUUACUACAAUAAAUUUCAUUUUUUGCAUGGAUAUUUUUUACAAAGUUUCAUAAUAUGAACACUUAUGAUCACAAGCACAAAACUUUGUUAUUCAAACUCGAAAAGUUUUGAGUAAGAAUUACAACUUAGAAAACUGUUUUUGCACGAAAUUGAAAAUAGUAUUUUUGCACAUCAUUUUAGACUACUGAAAACUAUUAUGGCACCCAUUAUCAAAACGAUUAUCUUGGACAACUGUUGAUGCAUUUGGUUGCAUAUGUUAUUAGUAACUAUUGUGGCAUCGACUAUCGACAAAUGUUUUUUCGUUUUUACAUGUACACACCAUUGAAAACUGUUGUGCUUAUUAUUAGU
rnacentral:sRNA from 1 species